GGCGGUCCACAGGGCACUAAGCUCCCACACCGCACUUGACUCCAUUUCCUUACUAGAUGCACCCAAAGCUCUGUGGAGAGAGGGCAAGAAGCUGACUCCAGCCAGAAGGUUCCAGAAGAAUCAAAAAGAGCCUUAACCUCUGGGUGGAGACUGGAGCUUGAUCCUGAAGGACAUUCAGAAGGCUCCAGAUGGACAGUAGAAGAGUGUUGCUCCCCGCAGAGGGAUUGGUGUGAGGGACUCUAGGAUGAGCAAGGUCAUCAGGUGUUCAGGGAGGGAGGACACCGGCUUGCCCAGGGGAUGUGGAUCAGAGGUGUGACUCAGAGUGGGAAGGCCGUGGGCUCCACCUCUCUGCAGAGAAGAUACAAUUACACUCAGUGGGACUGGUAAACAUUUAACGGCCCACUCUCAAGGGGAAAAAAAGUGUGUGCGUAUAUUAAUAAUUUUAUUUUAAUUUUUACUGAUUUACAGGAUUGCAGCACGCACUUGAUAAGUAAUUACAAGUUGCCCACGACUCUUCAGUGUAAAUUCCACGUAGCUAAUUGACAGGCAGUCUGUCUGCAGUUUACCACGGUGACAAAACAUAGUGUUGAAUAAAUGCUUGAUAUUAUCCAACUCAAUAAAGAAGUUACCCGUGCCAUUGACAAAUGAGUGUCGUUCUGACACCUGCGCUGGUUGACAUUUGUUUAUGUUAACGAGUAAGAGGAGCAACAGGAAGAUGCACCCUGUAACUUCAUUCAUCUGUCUGUGACAGCAGCGGCCUCUCUGGUGCAUCAUGAAAGAGUGCACAAAUAUUGAGAAUGUUCCCUCAAAACCUUUGCGGCUCACAAUGACAUGACUACAGACAUGACUUUCUUUCUUUCUUUUUUUGGUGGUGCUGGAGAUGAAGAACUCAGGUCCUUGAGUGUGGAAGACACGGGCUUCACCACUGAGCUACCCUCCCCAGCCUGAUGUGACCCAUUUCUAAAUACAGUCUGCAUCGUUAACAUUUUCUCUGUCACUUUAUUCAAUUUAGACAAUCAAUGAAACAAUAAAUCAAGACAUGAGCUUUA